CUUCUAUGCUGUGGAAGUUUUUUUUUUUUUGCUAUGUGUUGUGGGAGGUUUGUUCUUUCACUUUUGCUGCUGCUGCUCACUCUUUGGGUCAGUGCCACCUUUAUGAGCUGUAACACUCACUGCGAAGGUCUGCAGCUUCACUCCUGAAGUCAGCAAAACCAUGAACCCACCAGUAGGAAGAAACUCCGGACACGUCCAGACAUCAGAAGGAACAAACUCUGGACACACCAUCUUUAAGAACUAUAACACUCACUGCAAGGGUCAGUGGCUUCAUUCUUGAGGUCAGGGAGACCAAGAACCCACGAAUUCCCGACACACUCUCAGGACCAUUCCAUCUGGCUUCCUUUUUCGGAACCUAACUACAUACAUGCCAUUGUCCUACCAAACACUUGAAAGCAUUAGCCAUACUUAAGAUUUCUUUUCUUCUUACUCAGCCAACAGGCAGAGGAUAUUCCAGCCAAAGUCUCUAGCUUUUAGACUAUUCCAGUCUGCAUCACCUGGAUUGAAAUGAGCGGGAGAGAGGGAACUGUUCUUUCUUCCUCUCUGUGGGCAGAAGGUAAUGGGGAAAGCCAGAAUGUACCAACAAGUCUUUCCUUAUCUCUGGACCUUUCAAAUUCCAAGGAAUGUUUUUCUCCUCACAUAUAGUCUUAGGGUUAGAGGUAGUUGCAGGCUGAAUGAGUAACCCUAUCUUUUAGCAAGUCUGGCUAGAUAGAUUGGAAACUUGACUGAGAAUGUAGGACUUAAAAAUAUUGUCUCCUAUUUUGAGCCGUUUCCAAACAUCUGAGAUGACAGGAAAAUGUUUUUUUUAUUUAUUUACUUAUUUAUUGUUUGAGACAUAACCUCGCACUGUCGCCAGGCUGGAGUGCAGUGGUGCAACCUUGGCUCACUGCGACCUCCACCUCCCGGGUUCAAGCGAUUCUCUUGUCGCAGCCUCCCGGGUUGCUGGGACCACAGGCGCACACCACCACGACCAGCUAAUUUUUGUAUUUUUAGUAGAGACGGGGAUUUAUCAUGUUGGCCACGGUGGUCUUGAUUUCUUGACCUCAUGAUCCGCCUGCCUUGGCCUCUCAAAGUGUUGGGACUACAGGCAUGAGCCACCGAGCCCAGCCAAAAUGUUACUUUUAACAUUCUGUUACAUACAUAAAUAUUCAGAAGUGCUACAGUUGUUAAGUUUUAACUGGAACUUAUUGAUUCAUAUAAUUGUGAGGCAGACAGGUAAUUCUGGUUUCCAUUACAGUUGGCUCAAAUGAUCUCAACAGCCCCCCUCUCUCUCUGUCUCAUUAAUUGCUGUUCUCAUUUUUUUCUCUUUCUCUUACUUAGGAGAUUCUGUUUUCUGAUGGAAAUUGUCUCAUAUUAUUAACAUAAAUAAGGUUUGGGCAAGAAAAAUGGAUAAAUCAUGAAAUUUUAUGGUCUUAACAAGGUAUAAAACACCGCUUGACUACCAACAAUUGUCAUUGGUUUAAUAUCCCAUUAACUAGAAUAGACUAGGUUCCUGCAUUAUUUAUUCCAUUGAUUUUGUUGAAAAGAUAAUGUACAUCUUCAGCAACUAUAUGCAUUAACAAGAGAAUGGUAAGGUAUAUUUAAUAGUGGAAACUAUAUUAGUACACGUAUUAUUAUUGCAAAAUGCAAAAAGAAAUUGAGUUAUAAAUCUGCCCUGCUGCUCUGUAUAUAAUUAUUUCUACUGGGAUUCUCAUAAUAUUGUACACAUAUAUUUGCUGACCUUCUAGACAAAGAAAUACAUUCUGUGAUAUGUGAAAUAUAUUGUAACCCAGAAGUGGAAUGUUUUCCCUAGUGAGGGUUCAUUUAAAUAAUUUUAUCAUCACCAUGGUGGGUUUUUUUGUUUGUUUUUUUUACAACACAGUCUGUGGUUCACAGCAUCGGUGACCAUAGUCCCUAAAGUGAGAUAAAAUGUGUUAGAGAAGAAAUGAACACCUGCUGGAGUUACUUUUGUUUUGACUAGAGGCAGUUUGAUAUUCAGCUAGAGAGAGGCAUAUGCAAGGGAAAGGAUGUAUACAGUGAUUAAAACCAUGUUUUUUUGCCAGUGGGGGUUCUAUACACGUUUUAUCACUGUUUCUGGAGGCAAAACAAGAAGGUGUGUAUCCCUUUGUAUCCCAGGGCCACACCAUUAAUCUCAUCCAGAAUGAAGACAGAAGGUCUCAGUAUGUGGUGCCCAUAGAACAGAUAUAUUUUAAUAGACCAGAGCUUGAUGCUAUCACAAACACCAGCAUUUGCCAAGUUUAACGUGAAAUAAACUCUACUCUUGCAAAUAAGUGAAAUAGAAUAAAAUAUAAAAAACAUCUGUUUUCAAAUUAUUUUAAAGUUAUAAAUGAAAUGAGACACUUCCUGGCUCAGUCAACUUGUUUUUAUGAGUUAAUGGGCUGUGAUGCCAGUUUUCUUUUAAUACUAAAAUCCAUUUUAAGGUGGUUCUUACAGCCUUUAGCGAAAUGAUGGUUCUCCAGAGAGAAAUUUUUUUUUUUUUUAAAUUUCUGUGAUGCCUACUUGCUCACAAAUAGUGCAUGGGGUUUGGCACAUAUAUGAGCACCUAGGUAUGUAUAAUGAAUUGUUUGAGAGAGAUAUUAGUGGGUUAUCAUUUAGCCCAUAGCCAAUACUGGGAAUCUGGUGGAAGGGAGUAACUUUUUAGAAAGACCACUUUUGGGGCUCCAACUGCUUGGUUUACAAAAUCUUAUUUAUUUGUCUUUUAUGUUAUUCAUUUAUUAUUAUUAUUAGUGACUAUUUCCCUCUUUUUCUCCAUCUCAAAAACAACAACAACAAAGAAAUAUGUGUUCAUGAAAAGCUUUUAGUAACUAAAAAUGAUUAGUUAAAUUUAAAAAACAAAGUUUUGUAAGAACUGGGAUACGACCCAAAAAACUGUUAGAUCAAAAUACAUCAGUUUUAAAAUACCUAUAAAGGAGCAGGAGAUCCAAAAGCCAUCGAGAUGCACCCUUUCUCAACUUUGUAGUCCCUCUUUCUUCAUUUAUUGCUGCACCACAGACGUUUUGGAGUUCAGGGAAUUCAGAAAAUCCCACCCUAAACAUGCCACUUUGGCAUAUUGAUUGUUUUAAAUUGAAGAAACUUCAAAAAAAUAGCAGAUGCAGAAUGGGCAUUUUGACCUUAAAAGCAAGAGAUAAAACUCCCACAUAGAAGAGGUGCCCUCUCUGUACCUUAAGGAAGAAAGACGUUCUUAUUUUGAGAAAGGGCAGUCAAAACCCAGAGAAAUCUGUACAAGCAAACUUUGUUCAAAUAAUCCUUAUAUUCCUAGUCAUUUCUUUACAAUUAGCUAGUGUAGUCCCAAAACCCCUUUCUUUGUCACGUUUUCACACUGUCUGACACUUGGUUCAACUCAGUAGAUAAGUGUUCAACUCUGCUUCUUGGGGUCUUCAUUUCUUUUUGAGAGAUUCCAUGUCAUGUAAAACUUAUAUUAAAUAAAUUUGCAUAUUUUUCUUCUAUUAAUCUAUCAUAUGCUAGUCUAAUUCUCAGGCUUAGCUGGAAAACCUUAGUAGGGUAGAGAUAAAAUUUUGCCUCCCCUACGGAUUUCAAAAAUAUUCUUUUUGAUACCUACUCUAAGGGUUGAUGUAGUAAAACUGUUCUUAGCUUAGUGUUUGGCAUUAGAAAAAGCAAUCAAUGUUAAUAAUUAUUUAUAGGUACUGGUAAAGAUAUCCCAGAGACCCCAUCUGUAUUAGGCAGGAUAGAUUAGGAACUGCUGAUAAGUGGGGCUACUGGCUCUCUCAGGCAGCUACUGGAUCUGGCAACUUAGAUAUCUAGAUUACUAUUACCUUGUAUUUUGUUUAUCCCAAUGAAUGCACAUCCUUCAUAAUCACUGCGUAGAGGAAGAUAGUUCUGGAGUGUAACCUCUGCUUUCAGUUCACUGUCCAGUACUAUUACACAGUCUGAGGUAACUGCAACUAGACUGGGAAAUGUGGGAGAACAUAUAUUCAGUAUGUAGAAAGUAUUUUGGCCACAUCAGCCAUAUAGCAAGGAAAUAUUUAUCUGCUUGGUAAUGCAAUUAAUCAAUAGUAAUUGUAUGUGAUAAUUUUCUCUACUUAAAUAACAGGUUAAAAAAACAGUAGUACUGGUUAAAACCCUUAUAUAGAGAGUGACAUAUUCUGGAAAUAAAUGAAUAUUUGAGUAUUUAAAAUAUAACUUUCUUACAUAUUGUAUAUUCUUAGAAGGAUGAUAUUUCAAAGUAGAAAGACAUGCUCUAUGCUAACUGCUAGAAUGGCUUACUCUAUAUUCAAACUAUGUUCAUUGUUUAAGUACACUGUAGACUUUUGAACUGAUACUUGUGUUGUAUAAUGUUUUUC
rnacentral:lncRNA from 1 species